UCAAGCUACUAAGGGCAUACGGCGGAUGCCUAGGCGCCAUCAGCCGAUGAAGGACGCGGUAAGCUGCGAAAAGCUACGGGGAACUGCAAGCAAGUAUUGAUCCGUAGAUGUCCGAAUGGGGAAACCCACCUGCCGUCAUGGGCAGGUAUCCGAAAGGAAGGGAACCCGGGGAACUGAAACAUCUAAGUACCCGGAGGAAGAGAAAUCAAACGAGAUGCCCACAGUAGCGGCGAGCGAAGAGGGCAGAGGGCAAACCGGGGAGCUACGGCUCUCCGGGGUUGAGGACUGCAUUUAGUCUUAAUGGUCUAUCCGAACUACCUGGAAAGGUAGGCAACACAGUGUAAAAGCCACGUAGGUUAAAGACCGGAGAGAUGAGCAGUAUCCAGAGUACCACGAGGCACGAGGAAUCUUGUGGGAAGCCGGGGGGACCACCCUCCAACCCUAAACACUGAAUGGCGACCGAUAGCGCAUAGUACCGUGAGGGAAAGGUGAAAAGAACCCCGGGAGGGGAGUGAAAGAGAACCUGAAACCGUAUGUCUACAAGCAGUCGGAGCGAAAGCGACGGCGUGCCUAUUGAAGAAUGAACCAACGAGUUACGUGCACUAGCGAGGUUAAGUGGAAGACACGGAGCCGAAGCGAAAGCGAGUCUUAAGAGGGCGAAUAGUUAGUGUACGUAGACCCGAAACCGCAGUGAUCUACCCAUGUCCAGGUUGAAGCGCAGGUAAAAUUGCGUGGAGGACCGAACCUGUGAGCGUUGAAAAGCUUUAGGAUGAGAUGUGGGUAGAGGUGAAAUUCCAAUCGAACGCGGAGAUAGCUGGUUCUCCCCGAAAUAGCUUUAGGGCUAGCCUCAAGUAGUAAGUAUAGGCGGUAGAGCACUGAUCGGGCUAGGGGCCAUAAAGGUUACCGAACCCUGUCAAACUCCGAAUGGUUAUACUGUAGAGCUUGGGAGUCAGACUACGAGUGAUAAGAUCCGUGGUCAAAAGGGAAACAGCCCAGACCACCAGCUAAGGUCCCCAAUGUCGUACUAAGUGGAAAAGGAUGUGGGGUCUCUAAAACAACCAGGAUGUUGGCUUAGAAGCAGCCACCAUUUAAAGAGUGCGUAAUAGCUCACUGGUCGAGAGACCCUGCGCCGAAGAUUACCGGGGCUAAAGUACGAAACCGAAGCUGUGGCUACGACUUAGGUCGUGGGGUAGGGGAGCGUUCUGUGAGGGCUGAAGUCGUUCUGUAAGGAACGGUGGACUUCACAGAAGUGAGAAUGUUGGUAUGAGUAGCGAAAAGAAUGGUGAGAAUCCAUUCCACCGAAAGCAUAAGGAUUCCUGGGCAACGAUCGUCGUCCCAGGGUAAGUCGGGACCUAAUCCGAGGCAUGGAGCGUAGGAGAUGGACAACUGGCAGAUAUUCCAGUACCGGUAAUGAUUGUUUGAGCGAUGGAGUGACACAGGAGGGCAGGCAGGCAGGAGAUUGGUUGUUCCUGUACAAGCGUGUAGGAUGGGACGUAGGCAAAUCCGCGUCCUGUGAGUCUGAGGCGUGAUGUGGAGGUUCCGGAAACGGAACCGAAGCUGCUGACCCCACACUGUCGAGAAAAGCUUCUAGUUAGAGAAUUACCGCCCGUACCGUAAACCGACACAGGUAUGCGGGGAGAGAAUCCUAAGGUGCGCGGGAGAACCCUCGUUAAGGAACUCGGCAAAAUGUACCCGUAACUUCGGGAUAAGGGUAGCCGCUGUUGUGAAGUCUGCACAGACGGAGCAUGAGGCGGUCGCAGAGAAGAGGCCCAAGCGACUGUUUACCACAAACACAGGUGCCUGCUAAAGAGAAAUCUGACGUAUAGGUGCUGACACCUGCCCAGUGCCGGAAGGUUAAGGAAGGAUGUCCGGAGCAAUCCAAAGCAUUCGACCGAAGCCCCGGUGAACGGCGGCCGUAACUAUAACGGUCCUAAGGUAGCGAAAUUCCUUGUCGGGUAAGUUCCGACCCGCACGAAAGG
rnacentral:rRNA from 1 species